rnacentral:lncRNA from 1 species
AUGCAUCAUAAGAAAUAGAAGCCAGAGAAAUGGAACAAUGCCUACUGUGUGAUUCUAGUUACAUAAAAUGGGAAAGGAAUUACAUGCAGGGAAAGUCAACCUUUGAUUUUUAAUGUUAGAAUUGUGAUCAUCUCUGAAGAAACAGAGGAGAAUCUUUGGCAAGAACCAUAAAGGGGUUUCUAUAAAUAUGAAAUAGAAGCACCAGGCAUCAAGAAAACUUGGCAAGUGCUUACUUCUAGUAGCAAGUAAAAAUAUGACUCAAGGAUCAUAUGAUUUUGCUAUAGAGGGAAUUAUACUCGACAACUUCCUUUGGAGGAAAAACUUUUGUGUUUCCUCAGCCACAAAGACUGCUUCUGCCUGUAGGAACAUUAGGACACCCACAGCAUCCUGCACCUGCAAGGAAUGGCUACUAUUAAUAAGUGAAUGCCUGUGGUAACCCCACUCAUGGUGUGCAUGCAGGAAGACUGAAUUGUGGUUGUGAUAAGACCUGUGAACAUUUUCUCAGACUAUUACUUGAAGUGGAAAAUUAAAAUCAUAGAUUUUCUACCAUAUUGUUACCAAGGCAAUAAUAAUUUGGGUCCUAAAAACUGUCUCAGAGGAAAUGCUGGAACUAUUAAAUUGGUCAAAAACUGCCUGGAUAAUGAAGAACCUGAAUGUACUCGCUGCACUGUAAAUAUUCUGAAUCGGAGAUAUCACAUCAAAACCACACAAGCAAAA